ACUGCUGACGAGUCCCAAAUAGGACGAAAAGCGCAUCCUGAAU
rfam:Schistosoma mansoni strain Puerto Rico chromosome 5, complete genome